rnacentral:rRNA from 1 species
AGCAGUCGCCGCGGGAAAACGGAGGGGGCUAGCGUUGUUCGGAAUUACUGGGCGUAAAGCGCACGUAGGCGGCUUGGUAAGUUAGAGGUGAAAGCCUGGAGCUCAACUCCAGAAUUGCCUUUAAGACUGCCGAGCUAGCAGGUGAGAGAGGUAAGUGGAAUUCCGAGUGUAGAGGUGAAAUUCGUAGAUAUUCGGAAGAACACCAGUGGCGAAGGCGGCUUACUGGCUCAUACUGGACGCUGAGGUGCGAAAGCGUGGGGAGCAAACAGGAUUAGAUACCCCUGUAGUCCCUGUCUCUUAUAC